CCGCCUGGGGAGUACGGUCGCAAGACUGAAACUCAAAGGAAUUGACGGGGGCCCGCACAAGCGGUGGAGUAUGUGGUUUAAUUCGACGCAACGCGAAGAACCUUACCAGGGCUUGACAUCCUCUGAAAAGCAUAGAGAUAUGCUCCUUACCCUUCGGGGUAACAGAGAGACAGGUGGUGCAUGGUUGUCGUCAGCUCGUGUCGUGAGAUGUUGGGUUAAGUCCCGCAACGAGCGCAACCCCUAAGAUUAGUUGCCAGCACGUAAAGGUGGGAACUCUAAUGUGACUGCCGUUGACAAAA
rnacentral:rRNA from 1 species